AUUGAACGCUGGCGGUAUGCUUUACACAUGCAAGUCGAACGGCAGCACAGGGAGCUUGCUCCUGGGUGGCGAGUGGCUGACGGGUGAGUAAUGUAUAGGAAGGAGCCUGGUAGUGGGGGGUAAAUACUGGAAAGAGUGGCACAUACCGACCGCAUACUAUGUAUGAAAGCGAGGGACCUUCCUGCCUCGUUCUACCGAAGGGAUCGAUCUCGGAUUAGUUUGUUGGUGGGGUAAAGGCCUACCAAGCCUGCGAUCUGUAGCUGGUCUGAGAGGACGAUCAGCCACACUGGGACUGAGACACGGCCCAGACCCCUACGGGAGGCAGCAGUGGGGAAUAUUGGACAAUGGGCGCAAGCCUGAUCCAGCAAUGCCGCGUGCAGGACGAAGGCCUUCGGGUUGUAAACUGCUUUUGUACAGAACGAAAAGUCGCUGGCUAAUAUCUAGAUAUCAUGACGGUACUGUAAGAAUAAGCACCGGCUAACUACGUG
rnacentral:rRNA from 1 species